AUCCCUUCCCGCUAGGGGAACACUCGGGAGGGAUCAUUA
rnacentral:rRNA from 1 species